AGUCGAGCGGCAGCGGGAAGUAGCUUGCUACUUUUGCCGGCGAGCGGCGGACGGGUGAGUAAUGCCUGGGAAUUACCCAGUCGAGGGGGAUAACAGUUGGAAACGACUGCUAAUACCGCAUACGCCCUACGGGGGAAAGCAGGGGACCUUCGGGCCUUGCGCGAUUGGAUAUGCCCAGGUGGGAUUAGCUAGUUGGUGAGGUAAUGGCUCACCAAGGCGACGAUCCCUAGCUGGUCUGAGAGGAUGAUCAGCCACACUGGAACUGAGACACGGUCCAGACUCCUACGGGAGGCAGCAGUGGGGAAUACUGCACAAUGGGGGAAACCCUGAUGCAGCCAUGCCGCGUGUGUGAAGAAGGCCUUCGGGUUGUAAAGCACUUUCAGCGAGGAGGAAAGGUCAGUAGCUAAUAUCUGCUGGCUGUGACGUUACUCGCGGAAGAAGCACCGGCUAACUCCGUGCCAGCAGCCACGGUAAUACGGAGGGUGCAAGCGUUAAUCGGAAUUACUGGGCGUAAAGCGCACGCAGGCGGUUGGAUAAGUUAGAUGUGAAAGCCCCGGGCUCAACCUGGGAAUUGCAUUUAAAACUGUCCAGCUAGAGUCUUGUAGAGGGGGGUAGAAUUCCAGGUGUAGCGGUGAAAUGCGUAGAGAUCUGGAGGAAUACCGGUGGCGAACGCGGCCCCCUGGACAAAGACUGACGCUCAGUGCGAAAGCGUGGGGAGCAACAGGAUUAGAUACCCUGUAGUCCACGCCGUAACGAUGUCGAUUUGGAGCUGUGUCCUUGAGA
rnacentral:rRNA from 1 species